rnacentral:rRNA from 1 species
CCCUGGAUUGGACUGCGGCCGAUCAGGCUGUUGGUGAGGUAAUGGCCCACCAAACCUGUAACCGGUACGGGCUCUGAGAGGAGGAGCCCGGAGAUGGGCACUGAGACAAGGGCCCAGGCCCUAUGGGGCGCAGCAGGCGCGAAACCUCUGCAAUAGGCGAAAGCUUGACAGGGUUACUCUGAGUGAUUUCCGUUAAGGAGAUCUUUUGGCACCUCUAAAAAUGGUGCAGAAUAAGGGGUGGGCAAGUCUGGCGUCAGCCGCCGCGGUAAUACCAGCACCCCGAGUGGUCGGGACGUUUAUUGGGCCUAAAGCAUCCGUAGCCGGUUCUACAAGUCUUCCGUUAAAUCCACCUGCUCAACAGAUGGGCUGCGGAAGAUACUAUGGAGCUAGGAGGCGGGAGAGGCAAGCGGUACUCGAUGGGUAGGGGUAAAAUCCGUUGAUCCAUUGAAGACCACCAGUGGCGAAGGCGGCUUGCCAGAACGCGCUCGACGGUGAGGGAUGAAAGCUGGGGGAGCAAACCGGAUUAGAUACCCGGGUAGUCCCAGCUGUAAACGAUGCAGACUCGGUGAUGAGUUGGCUUUAUGCCAACUCAGUGCCGCAGGGAAGCCGUUAAGUUUGCCGCCUGGGGAGUACGGUCGCAAGACUGAAACUUAAAGGAA